GACGAACGCUGGCGGCGUGCUUAACACAUGCAAGUCGAACGGAAAGGCCCUGCUUUUGUGGGGUGCUCGAGUGGCGAACGGGUGAGUAACACGUGAGUAACCUGCCCUUGACUUUGGGAUAACUUCAGGAAACUGGGGCUAAUACCGGAUAGGAGCUCCUGCUGCUUGGUGGGGGUGGGAAAGUUUCGGCGGUUGGGGAUGGACUCGCGGCUUUUCAGCUUUUUGGUGGGGUAGUGGCUUACCAAGGCUUUGACGGGUAGCCGGCCUGAGAGGGUGACCGGCCACAUUGGGACUGAGAUACGGGCCAGACGCCUGCGGGAGGCAGCAGUGGGGAAUAUUGCAAAAUGGGCGGAAGCCUGAUGCAGCAACGCCGCGUGCGGGAUGACGGCCUUCGGGUUGUAAACCGCUUUCGCCUGUGACGAAGCGUGAGUGACGGUAAUGGGUAAAGAAGCACCGGCUAACUACGUG
rnacentral:rRNA from 1 species